AUUGGGGCCCCUGACAAAGCACAAGGUGUUGAAUGUGUGGUGGAUGUAGUGUGUGUACUGUGAAUACAGGAUGUUUGUGUAGUGGAUGCUGUGUGUAUAGUUAAUGCAGAGUGUGUGUUAGUGUAGUGAAUGCAGAGUGUGUGUCAGUGUAGUUAAUGCAGAGUGUUCUUAGUGUAGUGAAUGCAGAGUGUUAGUGUAGUGGAUGCAGUGUGUUAGUG